rnacentral:tRNA from 1 species
GUUCUUAUGGUGUAGUGGCUUGGGAGAGUAAACACAUAUCACGUCUGCCUAACACGCAGAAGGUCGCCGGUUCGAAACCGGCUAAGAACA